UCUUCUUGGAGAAGCUGCACCCGCCACCCUGCUGGAUGAGUGCGAUCCACGGCGUACCUGCAACAGUGAUGGCAGCCAGGAUGCUGAAGCUGGCUGGAAAACAAUCUGAGUAUGAAGUAAGUUGAGGGUUACUACUGCAAGAUAAAACAACAAAGAAUGGCACCUUCAAAAUUAACACAUUUGUGUGAUGGCAUCAGCUUUCAUGGAUUAAAGACUACUUCCUCAGAUGCAUGUCAAAAAACGUGGGCAGGAAGCAUGGCUGUGACUAACAGGAAGGGACCUCUGCACUUCUGAAUUUGCCA